UACAGAGGUGGCAAGCGUUGUUCGGAAUUACUGGGCGUAAAGGGCGCGUAGGCGGCCAUGCGUGUCUUCCGUGAAAUCCCUCGGCUUAACUGAGGACGUGCGGAAGAAACUGCAAGGCUCGAGUCCGGGAGAGGGGGGUGGAAUUCCCAGUGUAGCGGUGAAAUGCGUAGAUAUUGGGAGGAACACCGGUGGCGAAGGCGGCCCCCUGGACCGGUACUGACGCUGAGACGCGAAAGCGUGGGGAGCGAACAGG
rnacentral:rRNA from 1 species